rnacentral:rRNA from 1 species
GACAGAGGUUGCAAACGUUGUUCGGAAUUACUGGGCAUAAAGCGCACGUAGGCGGCCUACUAAGUCAGACGUGAAAUCCCCCGGCUUAACCUGGGAACUGCGUCUGAUACUGGAAGGCUUGAGUAUGGGAGAGGGAUGUAGAAUUCCAGGUGUAGCGGUGAAAUGCGUAGAUAUCUGGAGGAAUACCGGUGGCGAAGGCGGCAUCCUGGACCAUUACUGACGCUGAGGCGCGAAAGCUAGGGGAGCAAACGGG